rnacentral:rRNA from 1 species
AGCAGGGGAUCGCAAGACCUUGCGCUUUUGGAGCGGCCGAUGUCUGAUUAGCUAGUUGGUGAGGUAAAGGCUUACCAAGGCUUCGAUCAGUAGCUGGUCUGAGAGGACGACAAGCCACACUGGGACUGAGACACGGCCCAGACUCCUACGGGAGGCAGCAGUGGGGAAUUUUGGACAAUGGGGGAAACCCUGAUCCAGCCAUGCCGCGUGAGUGAAGAAGGCCUUCGGGUUGUAAAGCUCUUUCAGCCGGAACGAAAAGGUUACGGUUAAUACCCGUGACUAAUGACGGUACCGGAAGAAGAAGCACCGGCUAACUACGUGCCAGCAGCCGCGGUAAUACGUAGGGUGCGAGCGUUAAUCGGAAUUACUGGGCGUAAAGCGUGCGCAGGCGGUUUUGUAAGUCAGAUGUGAAAUCCCCGGGCUCAACCUGGGAACUGCGUUUGAAACUACAAGGCU